CAAUGAAGAGUGGCAGACGGGUGAGUAACGCGUGGGAACCUUCCCAGUGGUACGGAAUAGCCCAGGGAAACUUGGGGUAAUACCGUAUAAGCCCUUAGGGGGAAAGAUUUAUCGCCAUUGGAUGGGCCCGCGUCGGAUUAGCUUGUUGGUGAGGUAAAAGCUCACCAAGGCGACGAUCCGUAGCUGGUCUGAGAGGAUGAUCAGCCACACUGGGACUGAGACACGGCCCAGACUCCUACGGGAGGCAGCAGUGGGGAAUAUUGGACAAUGGGCGCAAGCCUGAUCCAGCCAUGCCGCGUGAGUGACGAAGGCCUUAGGGUUGUAAAGCUCUUUUGGCGGGGACGAUAAUGACGGUACCCGCAGAAUAAGCUCCGGCUAACUUCGUGCCAGCAGCCGCGGUAAUACGAAGGGAGCUAGCGUUGUUCGGAAUUACUGGGCGUAAAGCGCACGUAGGCGGACUUGUUAGUCAGGGGUGAAAUCCCGGGGCCCAACCUCGGAACUGCCUUUGAUACUGCAAGUCUGGAGUCCGGAAGAGGUGGGUGGAAUUCCUAGUGUAGAGGUGAAAUUCGUAGAUAUUAGGAAGAACACCGGUGGCGAAGGCGGCCCACUGGUCCGGUACUGACGCUGAGGUGCGAAAGCG
rnacentral:rRNA from 1 species